GAAGUCGGUACAAGGUUUCCGUAGGUGAACCUGCGGAAGGAUCAUUGUCGA
rnacentral:rRNA from 1 species